UCCUAGCAACGAACAAACAUCCGCAUUCUGUCAGUAUAUAUAUCACCGGUUUGUAUACUGAGAUACAACACAUACUUCGCCACGAUGUUUGGACAAGGGAGAGGACCCAGACUUCAGAUUCCCAAUCCAGAUAUUAACACUGGAGGCAAGGGAUCAAGACCAAAUAUUCCGAACAUUCCACGUCCAAGAAAUGUACCCAACGGACCUGCCCCCAGAGAUCCACCUGCACCGAAGGCAGAGCAAGGUGGGGACUGCACCAUAUCCUAACCAGACGCACGCCAACGCAGCCACGUCUGUUUCCAUGGCAACAAUACUGACGGAAUUUUAAUACGUUUUAUAUCUCGGUGGAAAUACUAAAAUAAAACAUGGAACAA